rnacentral:rRNA from 1 species
CUACGGGGGGCAGCAGGCGAGAAAACUUUGCAAUGUGCGAAAGCACGACAAGGUUAAUCCGAGUGGUUUGUGCUAAACGAACCUUUUGAUAGUCCUAGAAACACUGUUGAAUAAGGGGUGGGCAAGUUCUGGUGUCAGCCGCCGCGGUAAAACCAGCACCUCAAGUGGUCAGGAUGAUUAUUGGGCCUAAAGCAUCCGUAGCCGGCUCUGUAAGUUUUCGGUUAAAUCUGUACGCUCAACGUGCAGGCUGCCGGGAAUACUGCAGAGCUAGGGAGUGGGAGAGGUAGACGGUACUCGGUAGGAAGGGGUAAAAUCCUUUGAUCUAUUGAUGACCACCUGUGGCGAAGGCGGUCUACCAGAACACGUCCGACGGUGAGGGAUGAAAGCUGGGGGAGCAAACCGGAUUAGAUACCCCGGUAGUC